AACGUAGGACGCAAGCGUUAUCCGGAGUUACUGGGCGUAAAGCGCGGGCAGGCGGCUCGAAACGUCUGAUGUGAAAUCUCCUCGCUCAACGGGGAGAGGCCAUUGGAAACGGUCGAGCUGGAGGGCAGUAGAGGUAGGCGGAAUUCCGGGUGGAGUGGUGAAAUGCGUAGAGAUCCGGAGGAACACCAGAGGCGAAGGCGGCCUACUGGGCUGCACCUGACGCUGAGCCGCGAAAGCCAGGGGGGCGAACGGG
rnacentral:rRNA from 1 species